GGGGAUGUAGCUCAGUGGCAGAGCACUUGUCUAGCAUGCACGGCCCUAGGCUCCAUCCCCA
rnacentral:tRNA from 1 species